GGCUUGUUUGGGAAGCUCUCUGAAUUUUAUGGCCUUGAGGUCCUUGAGAGUGACAUCAUUUGAGGUUGCUAUGAAGUUUUAUGUCUCACUUUUACUUAUGCAACUGUUUGCAGUCCUUUGGUUGCUCCUUCUCUCAGUGUCAUGCAAAACUUUGCAGAAAUGACCUGUGAAUUUGAUCCAAAGAAUGUAUCAUUGCUACUCAAGGGACAUGCUAUGUACAGAAACAAGACUAUGGACAUAAUUCUACAGGUCGAGGAGUUUCGCAGACAUAACUCCUUGGGAGCAGUGCCCAGGUCAAGAAAGAAAAUGUGGCCAAUGCCCCAGGAUCUUAUUUGGUCAUCCAGGCUGGACUGCAGUGGUGUGAUCAUAGCUCACUGCAGCCUCAAACUGCUGGACUCCAGUGAUCUUCCAGCCUCAGCCUCCCCCGGUAGCAAGGACUACAGGGUCCCAGAAGGAACCAACGCUGCCCACACCUUAAUUUGAGACUUCUGGCCUCUGAGAAAUGAGAAAGAGUCUCACUCUCUGUCGCCCAGCCUGGAGUGCAGUGGCAUCAUCUGAGCUCACUACAACCUCCGCCUCCCGGGUUCAAGCGAUUCUCCUGCCUCAGCCUCCUGAGUAGCUGGGACUACAGGCACGCGCCACCACGCCCAGCUAAUUUUCGUAUUUUUAAUAGACAUGGGGUUUCACCAUGUUGGCCAGGCUGCUCUUGAACUGCUAACCUCAAGUGAUCCACCAGCGUUGGCCUCUCAAAGUACUAGGAUUACAGUGCUAGGAGCCACCAUGCCCGGCCGCCUCUCUUUUCUUUUACACAUGAAGAAAAAGUGGUCAGAGAAGUUAACUUGGUCAGUGCCAAAAGCACUGGAAGUGAGUAGGACCAAGCUUUUCAUCUAGAUUUGUUUGUUAGACUCUAAAUCCAAAUUCACAACAAGAUCAGAAUAUGAGAAACCUAAGGAACAAAAUUCUAGGAAUCAUUUCUAGAAACUGUGGCUAUUGAAAAAGCACAGACCUAGGGAAUCAAAUUAUUUUCCCUGCCACCAGCACAUGGGUAGGCCUGUGACAAAUUCCAUGCUCUGGACCCCAGAUUCCUCAGUGAGAAUAGAAGGGGCUAGAGACAUCAGGGAAUUGGAUUUGGUGACUUUAAUACCCACUCAGCUCCAAAGCAUUCUUGAAUGAUGCACGAUUUAUGAAUAUAUAUAUUGAAAUUUACUGAUGGGUGAACAGCUCUCAACAUGAGAUUUUUGUUGUAUGCCUUAAAAAAGAUUAUACAUAAAUAUGCGUGUGUGUGUGUAUGUAUGUUUCGAUGUAUAUGAACCCAUGAUCUGAAAAAUGGCCACUGUGGCUUGUGGAAACCUAUUAAUCUCUGCUGUUCCACCCAACAUCCUCAGAGAAAAAAAUAAACAACUUUUUGAAAGUGCUGCCAUGGGGUCAGACCAAAUACUGUGGCCACUUCCAAGGGGUUUGCCUUGAUUUGCCUGGAUUCCUGUUCAUGUGACAUCUGCCUUCUAAUUCAAGGAUAUGAUCAAUUCAAUGUGUGAGUUAUCAAUCAAGGACUGGCAACAGUGAUGCUGAACAAGCCUGGUGGAAGGAAAGAGAAGGCAGGCCAGAGCCCAGACAGACGCAUUCACAAACCUUACAAAGAGGACAGGCUAAUUAGGGGCUGUAGUUCUCCCUCUCUUUAUAGUUGGUAUAAGAGGAGUGGUAAUCGUAGUGUCCAAAAAUAUAUGGGCUACAUAGUUGCUUAGUAAGCUGUGGGUAUGUGGUUUCUUCUGCAAGGUGCUUUCUUUCUGAUAAAGAGAUUACGUUGUUUGUUUGUUCAUUUAUUGAACAUAUUUACACUUACACACACACACACACACACACACAAUGUUCCAGAUACCGUACUUGGCAAUGGUAGUUAGACCUUGCUCUUGCAAAAUUUAUAAUGAAGUUGGGAAGUGUGGUUUGAUCCCUCAAAGUGUCCAAAUCCUAAUCCCCAG
rnacentral:lncRNA from 1 species